rnacentral:lncRNA from 1 species
AAAGGAUUGAAGUAACAGAUCUGUAGACCCAGAGGCCUGACAGUGUGGUUGUGUAAAAUUGUUGGUGUUGGUGUCUUGGGCUCAGGAGAUUCCACAGGUAACCUCUCAAAUGUUGUCUCCACAGGAAGGACCUAACCGUCUUAGGAGGUUUAUUUUCAUGAUCAGUGGUCAGCCCUGUUUUCUGCUGGGAUAAACCUUGUGGAAGAUCUCUUCAUGCACAAAGUGACACAGAUGAAGAAAAUGAAGUACAACAAAAUCAAGCUCUUCGGCACAGGCUUCCAGGCACCAAGAGAUUUGGGACUAGCAUACAGAUCCACCACCCCACAAACUUACCUUUAUCACAGUUACAUAUUAAGAAUUUUAUAUUUGUACAUCUUAAUGCACCUUGUUUUGUAGGGCUGAUUGAAGACUUUUUUUGCCCUCUGGCGACAUUGUAACUGUGAAAGCAAUGGACGAAUAAAG